AAAACGGUUUCUCAACCAGUAAUGCACACCACUCAACACAAUUCAUUUCAAACAUUGACUAAAAAUCCAUGAAGUUGACUGAGGAAAAUUCUUUCUAAGUUUCAGGUGAAACAGCAGGAAGCUAUUGGCGCUGGAUGGUCAGCCUUGAGGGCCACUUCAUAUGUGAAGGGAUCCAGCCCACCUUCUUGAUGGGGCUUGCUGCAUUAUUUUCCACCUUCUACACCUGCACGCUCAAAUUAAUCUCAAGGUGCACCGUAGGAAUAAACCCUGAGAGAGGCACCAAGGAUGGACAGGGCAAAGUCUUCUCAAAGAAAACUGGCAAAUUCACGAGCUACAAGACAAGACUACAACCGUAUAUCCACAUGUAUCCACUCUGCUGAUGGGACUCAUGGACUUGAGUGGGACUUCAUUUAAAAUGUCAGCGGGCUACCAAGGCUG